CUGGUUGCCGUGGGUGUCCUGUCUCGUGUAGGAGUUGGGGUCUGUGGCACGUAGCCAUGGGUGGCAUGGGCAGGUCCUGUGAUAGGUGUUGUGGCGGUAAACAUCAGUGGGUUAGCUCUUCUCUGUACAGGUUGUAACACUGACUAGACCUUUAGCAACCAACAAAAGGGUGUCUAGGGGGAUGAUUCUAUACUCAGGGCGUGAGAGGAUUAAACC